UACAGAGGUCUCAAGCGUUGUUCGGAUUCAUUGGGCGUAAAGAGCGCGCAGGCGGUCGAUCAAGUCGCGUGUGAAAGCCCCCGGCUCAACUGGGGAGGGUCACGCGAUACUGAUCGACUCGAAGGCAGGAGAGGGUAGUGGAAUUCCCGGUGUAGUGGUGAAAUGCGUAGAUAUCGGGAGGAACACCAGUGGCGAAGGCGACUACCUGGCCUGUUCUUGACGCUGAGGCGCGAAAGCUAGGGGAGCAAACGGG
rnacentral:rRNA from 1 species